AAAAAGAACCUGAAACCGUGUACGUACAAGCAGUGGGAGCACAGGUUUACCUGUGUGACUGCGUACCUUUUGUAUAAUGGGUCAGCGACUUAUAUUCUGUAGCAAGGUUAACCGAAUAGGGGAGCCGCAGGGAAACCGAGUCUUAACCGGGCGUUAAGUUGCAGGGUAUAGACCCGAAACCCGGUGAUCUAGCCAUGGGCAGGUUGAAGGUUGGGUAACACUAACUGGAGGACCGAACCGACUAAUGUUGAAAAA
rnacentral:rRNA from 1 species